rnacentral:rRNA from 1 species
UAACGCGUGAGGAACCUGCCUUUCAGAGGGGGACAACAGCUGGAAACGGCUGCUAAUACCGCAUAACAUAUAGGUAUCGCAUGGUGCCCAUAUCAAAGAUUUAUCGCUGAAAGAUGGCCUCGCGUCUGAUUAGCUAGUUGGUAGGGUAACGGCCUACCAAGGCGACGAUCAGUAGCCGGACUGAGAGGUUGGCCGGCCACAUUGGGACUGAGAUACGGCCCAGACUCCUACGGGAGGCAGCAG